rnacentral:rRNA from 1 species
CACGUAGGGUGCGAGCGUUGUCCGGAAUUAUUGGGCGUAAAGAGCUCGUAGGCGGUGUGUCGCGUCGGCCGUGAAAACCUGCAGCUUAACUGUGGGCGUGCGGUCGAUACGGGCAUCACUGGAGUUAGGCAGGGGAGACUGGAAUUCCUGGUGUAGCGGUGAAAUGCGCAGAUAUCAGGAGGAACACCGGUGGCGAAGGCGGGUCUCUGGGCCGAUACUGACGCUGAGGAGCGAAAGCGUGGGGAGCAAACAGG